CAGAGUUCUUAUCCUCGGUUAUAAAUAUCUGCAUGUGUACGUUACGCUGUAUCGACCCCAAAGCUGCUAGAUCAUCUCCAUUGUUAUCUGCAAAGGUUUUGUAUACUUAAAAGAAGCAAUAAGCUGCAUCCUGAUCUUCCUCAAAAUUCAGCAUGGCAAAAAUGGCUGCUACUAAGGCCACCAAGUUCAUAGUUGUGGCCGUUCUUGUUGCGAUCUUUCUGCUCAUGUCCACUGAGGUGGCCACUGCUGCACUUGAUGCAGCGUUGACAGAUCAUCUUAAGCUUGGAAGAAGGGUUCUUCAAACUAACACCAAUGGGAGGGGAGGAUACAAUAGCUACAAUACCACUGGCCGUGGAGAAUAUAAUUAAUUAGAUUUAGUAGUAACUUGGUCGUAUUAUGAAUAAUUGUAUCCUAAUUAAGCUAUUGCAUGUAUGCUUUGUUAAUUUU